AUUGAACGCUGGCGGCAGGCCUAACACAUGCAAGUCGAGCGGAGCGGCGGACGGGUGAGUAAUGCUAAGGAAUCUGCCUGGUCGUGGGGGAUAACGUUCGGAACCGGGCGCUAAUACCGCUUCCUAUCAGAUGAGCCUAGGUCGGAUUAGCAUGUUGGUGGGGUAAAGGCCUACCAAGGCGACGAUCCGUACCUGGUCUGAGAGGAUGAUCAGUCACACUGGAAUUGAGACACGGUCCAGACUCCUACGGGAGGCAGCAGUGGGGAAUAUUGGACAAUGGGCGAAAGCCUGAUGCAGCCAUGCCGCGUGUAUGAAGAAGGUCUUCGGAUUGUAAAGCACUUUAAGUUGGGAGGCGUUACCAGCAGAAGAAGCACCGGCUAACUUCGUGCCAGCAGCCGCGGUAAUAC
rnacentral:rRNA from 1 species